GACGUAGGGCGCGAGCGUUGUCCGGAUUUAUUGGGCGUAAAGAGCUCGUAGGCGGCUUGUUGCGUCGACUGUGAAAACCCGCGGCUUAACUGCGGGCUUGCAGUUGAUACGGGCAGGCUAGAGUUCGGUAGGGGAGACUGGAAUUCCUGGUGUAGCGGUGAAAUGCGCAGAUAUCAGGAGGAACACCGGUGGCGAAGGCGGUGCGCUGGGCCGAAACUGACGCUGAUGAGCGAAAGCGUGGGUAGCAAACAGG
rnacentral:rRNA from 1 species